rnacentral:rRNA from 1 species
GGCCAGACUCCUACGGGAGGCAGCAGUGAGGAAUAUUGGUCAAUGGGCUUACGCCUGAACCAGCCAAGUCGCGUGAGGGAAGACUGCCCUAUGGGUUGUAAACCUCUUUUGUCAGGGAGCAAUUGGCGCUACGUGUAGCGUUAUCGAGAGUACCUGAAGAAAAAGCAUCGGCUAACUCCGUGCCAGCAGCCGCGGUAAUACGGAGGAUGCGAGCGUUAUCCGGAUUUAUUGGGUUUAAAGGGUGCGUAGGCGGAAUGCCAAGUCAGCGGUAAAAUUGCGGGGCUCAACCUCGUCGAGCCGUUGAAACUGGGUGCCUUGAGUGGGCGAGAAGUACGCGGAAUGCGUGGUGUAGCGGUGAAAUGCAUAGAUAUCACGCAGAACUCCGAUUGCGAAGGCAGCAUACCGGCGCUCAACUGACGCUCAUGCACGAAAGCGUGGGUAUCGAACAGGAUUAGAUACCCUAGUA